CCGGCGACCGGCGCACGGUGAGUAACACGUAUGCAACCUGGCCGUGACAGAUGGAUAACCGGGAGAAAUCCCGCCUAAUACAACAUAAUGCCGGGAGGGACAUCCCCUGCCGGUCAAAGGGGGCGACCCCGGUCAUGGAUGGGCAUGCGGCGCAUUAGGUAGUUGGUGGGGCAACGGCCCACCAAGCCGACGAUGCGUAGGGUUCUGAGAGGAAGGUCCCCCACAUUGGAACUGAGACACGGUCCAAACUCCUACGGAAGGCAGCAG
rnacentral:rRNA from 1 species